rnacentral:rRNA from 1 species
GACGUAGGAUGCAAGCGUUGUCCGGAUUUAUUGGGCGUAAAGAGUUCGUAGGCGGUUUGUUAAGUCUGAUGUUAAAUAUCGGGGCUCAACCCCGGGACUGCAUUGGAUACUGGCAGACUUGAGUGCGGUAGAGGUAAGUGGAAUUUCUGGUGUAGCGGUGAAAUGCGUAGAUAUCAGAAAGAACACCAGUGGCGUAGGCGACUUACUGGGCCGUAACUGACGCUGAGGAACGAAAGCCAGGGGAGCAAAUGGG